GGUUGCCGCCGGGCACACAAAAUUACUGAAAAACUGGAAAACAAAAAUAAACUAACUCAAUUCUCUAAUUUUUAAUACUUCUUUAGUUAAAUCUAAGACUUUUUUCAAAAGAUUUAUUAAAUAAGAAUCCUAUAGGAAUCCUCCUUUUCAAAAAAAUCCUAUAAGAUUUAUUAAAGCAGCAUUGCUAAACAAACAUAAUUAAAAAUGCCAGAUUUCAGAGUAUAAUAACCUUUUCUUACCUAUAUGAUAGGUUUUUGUUGCAGGCAAAAUUGAUGAUGCAUGUUCUGCAAGAGCAAGACCAGCUCUCAAGAU
rnacentral:misc_RNA from 1 species